rnacentral:rRNA from 1 species
GAUGAACGCUGGCGGCGUGCCUAACACAUGCAAGUCGAGCGAUCUUCUUCGGAAGAGAGCGGCGGACGGGUGAGUAACGCGUGGGUAACCUGCCUCAUACACAUGGAUAACAUACCGAAAGGUAUGCUAAUACAAGAUGAUAUAAGCGAUUCGCAUGGAUUUCUUAUCAAAGCUCCGGCGGUAUGAGAUGGACCCGCGUCUGAUUAGCUAGUUGGUAAGGUAACGGCUUACCAAGGCGACGAUCAGUAGCCGACCUGAGAGGGUGAUCGGCAACAUUGGACAUGAGACACGGUCCAAACUCCUACGGGAGGCAGCAGUGGGGAAUAUUGCACAAUGGGCGAAAGCCUGAUGCAGCAACGCCGCGUGAGCGAUGAAGGCCUUCGGGUCGUAAAGCUCUGUCCUCAAGGAAGAUAAUGACGGUACUUGAGGAGGAAGCCCCGGCUAACUACGUGCCAGCAGCCGCCGUAACAC